ACGAUGUCACUUUUCCUUAGCUUUGGAAUCCGUAGUGCUUUCCUUUUGCAGAGCGAUGAACCGCCCGUAGAUCUGCUUGUUUUCUUCCGACGGAUCGGCGUUGUAUCAUCGGCCCUCGUUGGCCUUUCGAUUCCUUUUCCGCCUCUCGCCGGACGAGACACUCGACGGUGCUGCUCGGGAGACGAUGAAAGGGCUGACGAUACAGCAACACCAACCGGCGGACGAGAACAUGUCCAAUCUCACCUCUGCCUCCGGGGAAGCCAGCGUCUCUUCCAACCAGCAAUCCUCCUUCGCCUCCCCGACCCCAAAUCCAAC
rnacentral:lncRNA from 1 species